rnacentral:misc_RNA from 1 species
CCAUCGAACGUGCUGGGGCG